UACUUUGUGGCGACCGGCGCACGGGUGCGUAACGCGUAUGCAACCUACCUUUAACAGGGGCAUAACACUGAGAAAUUGGUACUAAUUCCCCAUAACAUUCGAGAAGGCAUCUUCUUGGGUUAAAAACUCCGGUGGUUAAAGAUGGGCAUGCGUUGUAUUAGCUAGUUGGUGAGGUAACGGCUCACCAAGGCAACGAUACAUAGGGGGACUGAGAGGUUAACCCCCCACAUUGGUACUGAGACACGGUCCAA
rnacentral:rRNA from 1 species